CCUACGGGUGGCAGCAGUGAGGAAUAUUGGUCAAUGGACGCAAGUCUGAACCAGCCAUGCCGCGUGGAGGAUGAAGGUUUUCGGAUUGUAAACUCCUUUUGUUAGAGAAGAUAAUGACGGUAUCUAACGAAUAAGCACCGGCUAACUCCGUGCCAGCAGCCGCGGUAAUACGGAGGGUGCAAGAGUUACUCGGAAUCACUGGGCGUAAAGAGCGCGGAGGCGGGAUAGCAAGUCAGAUGUGAAAUCCUAGGGCUUAACCAUAGAACUGCAUUGGAAACUGUUAUUCUAGAGUAUGGGAGAGGUAGGUGGAAUUCUUGGUGUAGGGGUAAAAUGCGUAGAGAUCAAGAGGAAUACUGAUUGCGAAGGCGACCUGCUAGAACAUAACUGACGCUGAUGCGCGAAAGCGUGGGGAGCAAACAGGAUUAGAUACCCGUGUAGUC
rnacentral:rRNA from 1 species